GCCCGGGUGGUGGAAUAGGUAGACACAAGGGACUUAAAAUCCCUCGGCUUAGAGCCAUACGAGUUCAAAUCUCGUCCCGGGUA
rnacentral:tRNA from 1 species